CUCCUCUCUCCUCUUUCUUUUCUCUUUGUCUUCUUCUCUCCUCUUCUCCUCUUUUCUCUCUCUCUCUCUUCUACUUUCUUUCUCCCUGCAUUUCUAUAAUAAAGCUCUUAAACUAUAGAGAGUCUCUGCUCCAUCAAGAUCCACUGUGCACUGUGGUAAGUGUUGGGAACCUCUUCCCUAAUCCCUCUCUCCCAUACCCCUCGGGGCUACAGGGUGUGGCCCUGGGGCCCCCAGGUUGGGGGCUGCCCCUUCUCCACCCACCACCGAGUGGGCCAGAGGCUUCGAUGCCCACCCAGGGCUGAGUGGAAAGCCUAUGGCAGCUCUCCCACGUCCACCUGCUCAGAGCACAGGAACUCUGGCCUGACAUGGGCUAUUUCUCCCCCCUUCUUCCCCAGGGCUCCCUGGGUCCCCCUUUUUUGUUCCCAAGACUGUGGUAAUAUAUGCACUUGUAGGAACUGUGAUCCCUGGAUGGUAAUACCAGAGAGUGGAGAGAAGCUUGCUGAGGAUGCAGACAGGAGUAGGAGAGAGUCAGAUCUUUUGCCUGCAUGUAUGUCUGUGUGCCAUGUUCAUGCAGUAUCCCUGAAGGCCAGAAGAGGGGCAAUCAGAGCCUCUAGAACUGGAGGUAUAGACAGAAAUAAGCUGUCAUGUAUGUGCUGGGAAUGAAACAUGAGAUCUCUGCAAGAGGAGUGAUCUGUGGGAUUCCAGCUCUAUAAGUAGUCUUCACAGUUGUGCAUUGAAAUGUUUGCUGUCUAGAAAAAGUACCCAAGGAGUUAAAGGGAUCUGCAACCCUAUAGGUGGAACAACAUUAUGAACUAACCAGUACCCCGGAGCUCUUGACUCUAGCUGCAUAUGUAUCAAAGGAUGGCCUAGGCGGCCAUCACUGGAAAGAGAGGCUCAUUGGACUUGCAAACUUUAUAUGCCCCAGUACAGGGGAAUGCCAGGGCCAAAAAGUUAGAGUGGGUGGGUAGGGGAGUGGGGGGGAUGGUAUGGGGACUUUUGGGAUAGCAUUGGAAAUGAG
rnacentral:lncRNA from 1 species